UCAGACGUGAGUACCCGCUGAACUUAAGCAUAU
rnacentral:rRNA from 1 species